GGAGGGAUGGCCGAGUGGAUGAAGGCGCACGACUCGAAAUCGUGUUCCCGCUUUGGCGGGACGGGGGUUCGAAUCCCUCUCCCUCCG
rnacentral:tRNA from 1 species